rnacentral:rRNA from 1 species
GACGAACGCUGGCGGCGCGCCUAACACAUGCAAGUCGAGCGAGCGAUGGAGAGCGUGCUUUCUUGAACGAGUGGCGAACGGGUGAGUAAUGCGUGAGGAACCAGCCUCAAAGAGGAGGAGGAUAGUUGGAAACGACUGCUAAUACCGCAUAAGCCCAUGGUGCCCCAUGGCACAGAGGAAAAAGGGGCAGUCCGCUUUGAGACGGCCUCGCGGCCGAUUAGCUAGUUGGUUAGGUAACGGCCCACCAAGGCGACGAUCGGUCGCCGGACUGAGAGCUUGAACGGACCCAUUGGGACUGGGACAAGUCGCAGACUCCUACGAGUGGCAGCAGUUGGGAAGAUUGCACACUGGGGGAGACCCUGAGGCAGCGACGCCGCGAGAAUGAAGAAGGUCUUCAGAUUGUAAACUCCUGUUGCUGGGGAACAUCAUGACGGUACCCAACAAGAAAGUGACGGCUAACUACGUG